CCUACGGGGUGCAGCAGUGAGGAAUAUUGGUCAAUGGACGAGAGUCUGAACCAGCCAAGUAGCGUGAAGGAUGACUGCCCUAUGGGUUGUAAACUUCUUUUAUAUGGGAAUAAAAUGUUCCACGUGUGGGAUUUUGUAUGUACCAUAUGAAUAAGGAUCGGCUAACUCCGUGCCAGCAGCCGCGGUAAUACGGAGGAUCCGAGCGUUAUCCGGAUUUAUUGGGUUUAAAGGGAGCGUAGGUGGAUUGUUAAGUCAGUUGUGAAAGUUUGCGGCUCAACCAUAAAAUUGCAGUUGAAACUGGCAGUCUUGAGUACAGUAGAGGUGGGCGGAAUUCGUGGUGUAGCGGUGAAAUGCUUAGAUAUCACGAAGAACUCCGAUUGCGAAGGCAGUUCACUGGACUGCAACUGACACUGAGGCUCGAAAGUGUGGGUAUCAAACAGGAUUAGAUACCCUAGUAGUC
rnacentral:rRNA from 1 species